ensembl:lncRNA
AAUUGGGUCUGAAAUCAUUCAUAUUCUUUUAACCAAAGGAUUUAUAUCAAAUCCAAUUAUAAUGCAAAAUAUUUUCUGACAGAGACAAGGGUACACCGGAGGAGAAAGGAAAUGCCACUGAUGAAGCUCUGCGCCUUUCGUUAAAGUACAACUUUGUUACACCGCUUACCUCCAUGGUCGUCACCAAACCUGAAGAUGAGACCAAAACUGACACAUUUAUUGCUGACAAGCUGACUGAAGAGGAACGAGGAAAAGUCCAAAGAUAUGGUUACACCGUAGCGGCCAGCUACCCCAAGUACUCUGCACCCACAUAUUUUGGUAAAUAUAAAACUCUAUGCACUAGCAAUGUGAAAGGUAGGUAAAGCUUCAAAGUUCUAACAAUUUGCCAAUGUAACAGUUGAUGGAGAUCCACACUUCAUC